UCGUAACAAGGUCUCCGUUGGUGAACCAGCGGAGGGAUCAUUACCGAGUUUACAACUCCCAAACCCCUGUGAACAUACCACUUGUUGCCUCGGCGGAUCAGCCCGCUCCCGGUAAAACGGGACGGCCCGCCAGAGGACCCCUAAACUCUGUUUCUAUAUGUAACUUCUGAGUAAAACCAUAAAUAAAUCAAAACUUUCAACAACGGAUCUCUUGGUUCUGGCAUCGAUGAAGAACGCAGCAAAAUGCGAUAAGUAAUGUGAAUUGCAGAAUUCAGUGAAUCAUCGAAUCUUUGAACGCACAUUGCGCCCGCCAGUAUUCUGGCGGGCAUGCCUGUUCGAGCGUCAUUUCAACCCUCAAGCACAGCUUGGUGUUGGGACUCGCGUUAAUUCGCGUUCCCCAAAUUGAUUGGCGGUCACGUCGAGCUUCCAUAGCGUAGUAGUAAAACCCUCGUUACUGGUAAUCGUCGCGGCCACGCCGUUAAACCCCAACUUCUGAAUGUUGACCUCGGAUCAGGUAGGAAUACCCGCUGAACUUAAGCAUAUCAAUAAGCGGAGGAAAAGAAACCAACAGGGAUUGCCCUAGUAACGGCGAGUGAAGCGGCAACAGCUCAAAUUUGAAAUCUGGCUCUCGGGCCCGAGUUGUAAUUUGUAGAGGAUACUUUUGAUGCGGUGCCUUCCGAGUUCCCUGGAACGGGACGCCAUAGAGGGUGAGAGCCCCGUCUGGUUGGAUGCCAAAUCUCUGUAAAGUUCCUUCAACGAGUCGAGUAGUUUGGGAAUGCUGCUCUAAAUGGGAGGUAUAUGUCUUCUAAAGCUAAAUACCGGCCAGAGACCGAUAGCGCACAAGUAGAGUGAUCGAAAGAUGAAAAGCACUUUGAAAAGAGAGUUAAAAAGUACGUGAAAUUGUUGAAAGGGAAGCGUUUAUGACCAGACUUGGGCUUGGUUAAUCAUCUGGGGUUCUCCCCAGUGCACUUUUCCAGUCCAGGCCAGCAUCAGUUUUCCCCGGGGGAUAAAGGCGGCGGGAAUGUGGCUCUCUUCGGGGAGUGUUAUAGCCCACCGUGUAAUACCCUGGGGGGGACUGAGGUUCGCGCAUCUGCAAGGAUGCUGGCGUAAUGGUCAUCAACGACCCGUCUUGAAACACGGACCAAGGAGUCGUCUUCGUAUGCGAGUGUUCGGGUGUCAAACCCCUACGCGUAAUGAAAGUGAACGCAGGUGAGAGCUUCGGCGCAUCAUCGACCGAUCCUGAUGUUCUCGGAUGGAUUUGAGUAAGAGCAUACGGGGCCGGACCCGAAAGAAGGUGAACUAUGCCUGUAUAGGGUGAAGCCAGAGGAAACUCUGGUGGAGGCUCGCAGCGGUUCUGACGUGCAAAUCGAUCGUCAAAUAUGGGCAUGGGGGCGAAAGACUAAUCGA
rnacentral:sRNA from 1 species